rnacentral:rRNA from 1 species
CGAACGGGUGAGUAACACGUGGGCAACCUGCCCAAAANAGGGGGAUAACACUUGGAAACAGGUGCCAAUACCGCAUAACCAUAGUUACCGCAUGGUAACUAUGUAAAAGGUGGCUAUGCUACCGCUUUUGGAUGGGCCCGCGGCGCAUUAGCUAGUUGGUGGGGUAAAGGCUUACCAAGGCAAUGAUGCGUAGCCGAACUGAGAGGUUGAUCGGCCACAUUGGGACUGAGACACGGCCCAAACUCCUACGGAAGGCAGCAG